UGGAGGACUGAGAAGGUGAGGCAGUCCUGUACCAUGCUGCCUUCUACCGGUUAAGACCUCCGAGAGUGAAGGCCUGCCGAGGCAGAGGAUGUCCCUCUGCCGCCCUCGGAGGGGCAGCCCUGUGCUGGCUGACAUUUG
ensembl:snoRNA SNORA47 small nucleolar RNA, H/ACA box 47